rnacentral:rRNA from 1 species
AUCUUCUUUGGUCUGAGUACACCUGAUUUCAUCUGAUCUUAGAAGCUAAGCAGUUUCAGGCCUGGUUAGUACUUGGAUGGGAGAUU